rnacentral:rRNA from 1 species
AUUGAACGCUGGCGGCAGGCCUAACACAUGCAAGUCGAGCGGAUGACGGGAGCUUGCUCCUUGAUUCAGCGGCGGACGGGUGAGUAAUGCCUAGGAAUCUGCCUGGUAGUGGGGGACAACGUUUCGAAAGGAACGCUAAUACCGCAUACGUCCUACGGGAGAAAGCAGGGGACCUUCGGGCCUUGCGCUAUCAGAUGAGCCUAGGUCGGAUUGGCUAGUUGGUGGGGUAAUGGGUCACCAAGGCGACGAUCCGUAACUGGUCUGAGAGGAUGAUCAGUCACACUGGAACUGAGACACGGUACAGACUCCUACGGGAGGCAGCAGUGGGGAAUAUUGGACAAUGGGCGAAAGCCUGAUCCAGCCAUGCCGCGUGUGUGAAGAAGGUCUUCGGAUUGUAAAGCACUUUAAGUUGGGAGGAAGGGCAGUAAGUUAAUACCUUGCUGUUUUGACGUUACCGGCAGAAUAAGCACCGGCUAACUCUGUGCCAGCCGCCGCCGUAA